CCUACGGGGGGCUGCAGUAGGGAAUUUUGCGCAAUGGGCGAUAGCCUGACGCAGCAACGCCGCGUGAACGAGACGCCCUUCGGGGUGUAAAGUUCUGUCAUUUGGGACGAUAAAUGACGGUACCCACAGAGGAAUCACCGUCUAACUCCGUGCCAGCAGCCGCGGUAAUACGGAGGGUGCAAGCGUUGUCCGGAAUCAUUGGGCGUAAAGAGUUCGUAGGCGGCAUGUAAAGUCAGGUGUUAAAGGCGGAGGCUCAACCUGAGUAUGGCAGUUGAUACUUGCAAGCUGGAAUUCGGUAGAGGUAAAGGGAAUUCCUGGUGGAGCGGUGAAAGGCUUAGAUAUCAGGAGGAACAUCGGUGGCGUAGGCGCUUUACUGGGCCGUAAUUGACGCUGAGGAACGAAAGCCAGGGUAGCAAAUGGGAUUAGAUACCCGUGUAGUC
rnacentral:rRNA from 1 species